GAGAGAAUCCCAAGCAGACUCCACACUACCAGCACAGAACCCGAUGUGGGGCUUGAACCCACGAACCACGAGAUCAUGACCUGAGCUGAAACCAAGAGUCGGAUGCUUAACCGACUGAGCCACCCAGGCACCCCCUAAGAUUCCUUUUCAAAUGUGUCUCCUUCUCGAACUCUUUUUCUCAGUGCAUAUAAAAUAUUUUUUAAGUGGGUUAAUGUUAUUUAAAUUGUGUCACAGCUUGCUUUUUCUCUUAAUUUAUCCUGAAUAUUUUGCUAUUUAAUCGCCUGAUUUGGGUGACUAGCAUUUGAAUAAAAUAAGCUGGAGAGUAUAAGUUCCAUAAAUAAUGCACAGAAUAUUUGCUUACCUAACAUGGAUUACACAUCUGCUCUAUGCCAGAUACUGUGCUGUGAGCAUCCCUGACCCCUCAGAACCGGGGCUGAUGGAAAGCCCCAAGAUGGGGUGGUGGCUGGGGGCUUUCUGGUCCCAAGCUGCCCUUGGGAGUAGAGACUUAGCUAAAUUGCCUCCUCUCCUGAGAGAUUCUGGAGAGUUUUCAUCUUUUGCAGGACAAAUGGAUGAGAAGUAGAAUGGAAAGAAUGAGGUAGAAUGGAUGAAAAAGAAAGGGAAUGGAAAAGGCAGUUUGAACGAUUUCAGCAAUAAACUUGGGGACUCUCAGGUUCUUAGAUUGCUUUUUUUACAUUUUUUUAAAUGUUUAUUUAUUUUUGAGCGUGUGAGCGGGGGAGGAGCAGAGAGAGAGGGGAAAAAGAAGAUCCGAAGUGGACUCUGACAGCAGAGAGCCUGAUGCAGGGCUCAAACUCACGAACCGUGAGAUCAUGACCUGAGCUGAAGUCGGACACUUAACCUACUGGGCCACCGAGACACCCCUCUUAGAUUGCUUCUUAAUGAUCAAAACCUUUAAAUACCUGGGGACAAUGUGGAGGUGCCUGUGAGACCAAACCCAGAGAAUGGAGCACUGGGGUUAUCAGUACCGGGUAGGGUUCCCACCUCCCCGGCUUACUAGCAGUGUGACCCUGAGUAAGCCACAGCCUCCUGGGCCUCAGUUUCCACACCUGUAUAAAGAGAAUCAUAUCGAUACAUACCUUUAUAAGCUUGCUCUGAGAAUCAAAUGAAAUAAUCCACGUCAGAUGCCCCAACAGUGCUGAUACAUGGUAAAUGCCGCAAGUAUUGUGACUACAAGAUGUAACCUUUAAAGCAUCAUUUUAAGGGAAGAAAAAUAGAGUCAUCUGGGAACUCAGUAUUUGAGUGUUUAGCCAUAUAGAAAUGCUUUCAGAAGUGUGAGCAUUCUUGGAAAUGGAAGUUCUCCAUUGGUCAUGCAUAAGUAAAAUCUUCCUGGAAUGUGAUGUGCUAGUAAAAUAAUCCUUAGUGAAGGAGAGCUUGAGGAUUUUGUCUCCUUUGCAUUAUAAAUUAUGUGCAAAGGACUUCAUGAAUUAUUUCCUUGAUUCCAAGUGGCACGCUUUCCACAUUGGAACGUUUCUAAAUCGGUAUAUAUCUUACAAUCGGUAUAUCAUACUUAACAGACAGUAUAUUUUCUUUCUCAGUAGUACCUAAAAUAAUACAACUUAAAAUUGCUGGCAUCUGAGGUUUAAUAAACCAUGCCUGUUUCGUUGUUCAUUUUUGGAGCAGGGAGGCUUUGGCCUGGUUUUUGUAGUUAAUUUUUUUUUUUUUAGUAAUUGGAAACACUAGUGUUCUCAAAAGCAUUCAUUAUUCGUCUGUAUUUAAAUCUCCAGAUUUGAUUCCCAAUCUCAGAUAGCCUUCUAUAAUCUAAUCAAUUUGGGGGCAACCUAAAAAUCAGUAUUUCUGAUUGCAUUUUAUAUAUUGACAUCAUAAAACAAAAGUACUAUCACGUAUUAAUAUUUCUAUGUGUAUGGAGGGGGAAGCAUGUUAAAUUAUAAAACCUAACUUACUCUUUUGUAAUGCUAGGCUGGUUCAUCUUCAAAUGCUGCUAUCAUGUCAGUCAUUCAUAUAACAAUGUAAACACACACAACAUAUAUAUAUAUAUACAUA